rnacentral:rRNA from 1 species
AUGGAUUUCACAAUUCAGUACUUUGAGAGGCAAGCUGAGAACCCUCAAUUCUACUAUGCAAAAACAGUUGACAAGGAGACCAACUCUGUCACAGGACUCUUUUGGGUGGAUGGGAGGACAAGGGCAUUGUACCCCAAGCACAAAGAUUGUAUCUUCUUUGAUACAACAUUUUGCACAAAUCGAUACAACAUGCCGUUCGCUCCGAUUGUUGGAGUGAACAACCACUUGCAAACGGUGUUGCUGGGUUAUGCAUUGCUGCCAAACGAACAGAUUGAAACUUUCAAGUGGGUGUUUCAACAUUGUUUGCUUGCGAUGAAAAAUGAACACCCAUUGAACAUUUAUGACCGACCAGGACAAGGCCAUGGAAACUGCCAUAUCUCAAGUGCUGCCCAACACGGUGCAUAG